UAAGGAUCGGCUAACUCCGCGCCAGCAGCCGCGGUAAUACGGAGGAUCCGAGCGUUAUCCGGAUUUAUUGGGUCUAAAGGGAGCGUAGAUGGGUUGCCAAGUCAGUUGCGAAAGCUUGCGGCUCAACCCUAAAAUCGCAAUUGAUACUGGCAGUUUUUAAGUACAGUUGAGGUAGGCGGAAUUUGUGGGUGUAGCGGGGAAAUGAUUAGAUAUCCAGGAAAGAACUCGGAUUGCGAAGGCAGCUUUCUAACCUGUUAACUGACAUUGAUGCUGGAAAGUGUGGGUAUCAAACAGGAUUAGAUACCCUGGUAGUCCACACGGUAAACGAUGAAUACUCGCUGUAGGCGAUAUACGGUCUGCGGCCAAAGCGAAAGCAUUAAGUAUUCCACCUGGGGAGUACGCCGGCAACGGUGAAACUCAAAGGAAUUGACGGGGGCCCGCACAAGCGGAGGAACAUGUGGUUUAAUUCGAUGAUACGCGAGGAACCUUACCCGGGCUUAAAUUGCAACCGAAUAUGGCGGAAACGCCAUAGCUAGCAAUAGCGGUUGUGAAGGUGCUGCAUGGUUGUCGUCAGCUCGUGCCGUGAGGUGUCGGCUUAAGUGCCAUAACGAGCGCAACCCUUGCCGAUAGUUACUAACAGGUUAUGCUGAGGACUCUGUCGGGACUGCCAUCGUAAGAUGUGAGGAAGGUGGGGAUGACGUCAAAUCAGCACGGCCCUUACGUCCGGGGCUACACACGUGUUACAAUGGGGGGUACAGAGGGCUGCUACCACGCAAGUGGAUGCCAAUCCCAAAAACCUCUCUCAGUUCGGAUUGAAGUCUGCAACCCGACUUCAUGAAGCUGGAUUCGCUAGUAAUCGCGCAUCAGCCACGGGGCGGUGAAUACGUUCCCGGGCCUUGUACACACCGCCCGUCGAGCCAUGGGAGCCGGGGGUACCUGAAGUGCGUAAAAGGGAGGAGCGCCCUAGGGUAAAACUGGUGACUGG
rnacentral:rRNA from 1 species